UACGGAGGGGGCUAGCGUUGUUCGGAAUUACUGGGCGUAAAGCGCGCGUAGGCGGACCUGCAAGUCGGGGGUGAAAGCCCGAGGCUCAACCUCGGAACUGCCUUCGAUACUGCGGGUCUCGAGUCCGGGAGAGGUGAGUGGAAUUCCUAGUGUAGAGGUGAAAUUCGUAGAUAUUAGGAAGAACACCAGUGGCGAAGGCGGCUCACUGGCCCGGUACUGACGCUGAGGCGACGAAAGCGUG
rnacentral:rRNA from 1 species